AUACGGAGGGUGCAAGCGUUAUCCGGAAUCAUUGGGUUUAAAGGGUCCGCAGGCGGUCAAUUAAGUCAGAGGUGAAAGCCCAUCGCUCAACGAUGGAACUGCCUUUGAUACUGGUUGACUUGAGUUAUACGGAAGUAGAUAGAAUAAGUAGUGUAGCGGUGAAAUGCAUAGAUAUUACUUAGAAUACCGAUUGCGAAGGCAGUCUACUACGUAUAUACUGACGCUGAGGGACGAAAGCGUGGGGAGCGAACAGGAUUAGAAACCCUAGUAGUCC
rnacentral:rRNA from 1 species